rnacentral:rRNA from 1 species
UACGGAGGGGGCUAGCGUUGUUCGGAAUUACUGGGCGUAAAGCGCACGUAGGCGGCUUUGUAAGUUAGAGGUGAAAGCCCAGGGCUUAACCCUGGAAUUGCCUUUAAGACUGCAUCGCUAGAAUUGUGGAGAGGUAAGUGGAAUUCCGAGUGUAGAGGUGAAAUUCGUAGAUAUUCGGAAGAAACUCCAGUGGCGAAGGCGACUUACUGGACACA